rnacentral:rRNA from 1 species
UACGUAGGGUGCAAGCGUUAAUCGGAAUUACUGGGCGUAAAGCGUGCGCAGGCGGUUGUGCAAGACAGAUGUGAAAUCCCCGGGCUUAACCUGGGAACUGCAUUUGUGACUGCACAGCUAGAGUACGGCAGAGGGGGAUGGAAUUCCGCGUGUAGCAGUGAAAUGCGUAGAUAUGCGGAGGAACACCGAUGGCGAAGGCAGUCCCCUGGGCCUGUACUGACGCUCAUGCACGAAAGCGUGGGGAGCAAACAGG